AAUAGCCUAACGGCUGAACCAGCAAUUUGGAAGAAUGUAUAGCGAAAGCUAGUUACAUAAUAUGUAAUAUCGAUUAUAUCGAAUAAAGUUCUGAGUAAAUCUAGAUUAUGACUUAAUUUACUCACGUGUCUUGACUAAAAUGCGUGCCAGCAGUCGCGGUAAGACGUAUAAGACUAGUGUUAUUCAUCUUUAGCAGGUUUAAAGGUACUUAGACGGCAGAUCAAGCCAUUAGGGACUAGUUUGCUAGAGUUACUUGUAAAGGGGCUUUAAAGUACUAAUGGAGUAGAGAUAAAAUGCUAAUAUACCUUUUUUCGUGAGAAUAUGAUGGCACUGAUAAAGGCGAAGGCAUCCCCUCAUGUGAUAGCUUUGUGUUGCGAACAGGAUUAGAUACCCUGGUAGUCGAAGCAGAGAAUGAUGAGUGUCAUAGAUUAAUUUAAUCUAUAAAUGAAAGUGCAAGCACUCCACCUUAAGAGUAAUGUGGCAACACCGAAAUUGAAAUCAUUAGACCGUUUCUGAAACCAGUAGUGAAGUAUGUUGUUUAAUUUGAUGACCCGCAAAAAACCUUACCAUGAAUAUUUACAAGCGUUGCACGGCUGUCUUAAGUUAAUGUCGUGAGAAUUUGGUUAGCUCCAUUAAAUUGACGUAAACCCUCGUUUUAUUUUUAUAUAGAACGGUUCACCGCUAUAUUGGAUAUGAUAAUAGGGAAGAAGACAAGUCAUCAUGGCCUGAAUGUUAUAUUCCAUCACAAAGGGAUGUGAAAUUGUGAAAUUUAACUAAUCUUUAAA
rnacentral:rRNA from 1 species